AUAAACAUAAUAUUCUGUGGUGUUAAUAACUAAUAACUAUUUAUCUGAUAACAAUAAUAAAAAAUAAAACAUAUAGUAUACACACAACAAACAUUGUCCUUGUCGGGAUAAUAUUAAAUGUAAUAAAAUUAUAAUGUAAAUUAAAAUUAAAUAGGUAUUAUUAAACGAUAAGCUAAACUUUUUACAAAAUUAUGACUAGGUAAUAGGUAUAUCAAUUUAGUGGUCGUUACAAAAUUUUAUUUUCUUAUUUAUAAAUAUUGCACAUUAAUUUUUUGUUGAGUCUUUGUUGAUUUUAUUUAUCUAAAUUAUCUCACUUUCAUUAUUAUCGGCAGCAUUCAUUUGUACGUAAGAAUCCGUUUGCACAGCUAAUACAUUUUUCAUGAAAACUGCAAUAUUUGGAUGUACUGAAGUAAAUAAAUCACCUAAUUUGUCAUGUAAAGACUCACAGUCGUCUCUACUCUCCAAUAUUAUUUCUUGUUUGGCCCAAAUACUGGGUGGAAAUGUGGCAUCGUUUUCUAUGUAUGUUUUAUCCAAAAUUUCCAAUAUUUCCGUCAUGUCCACCAAAAGUUUCAUUCAUGCCGGAACCAUGUACAAAUAUAAAGCGUUUGAAUACAACAAAAAAACGGAUAUGUAACUUUUGAGUACUGCCCAUUUAAAAAGGU